AGUUCGGUAACCUAAUAUACAUUUCUCUAUACAAGACGCGGAAACGGAAUGAAACGGAAAUACGUUGAAUUUACCUAAAUUGAGUCGUCAUUGCGUUAUCCAAUGUAGAUUAACGCAACAACACCCUCUUUAGUUCUGUUUUAUUCCGAUGCAUGGUUAGUUUCAGGCUUUUGAUCCUCGUGCAAAAAUGUAAAAUGCCCAAGCAGCACGAAUUUUCGAAGGACAAUGUUUAGAGAAGGCAGAACAUAAAUCCAAUAUGUCUUCCAAACUUAAAUGAUUGUCUUUUUGUGAAGAAAAUACUCGAUAUAUUGAAUCACGAAACGGGCUGCACUAAAAUAAAUUAGUAUUACAAUAUUGAAAAUUAAACAAUAUCGAACGAUAUAAUUUAUCUGCACUACAUUAUUAAUUAUGUAUUAUUAUUUAUUAUUAUUAACUAUACAGAAAGAGGAAAUAUCAAUUUUACUAACAGGG
rnacentral:misc_RNA from 1 species